rnacentral:rRNA from 1 species
UACAGAGGGGGCAAGCGUUAUUCGGAAUUAUUGGGCGUAAAGGGCGCGUAGGCGGCCUGGCAAGUGGAAGGUGAAAUCCCUCGGCUUAACCGAGGAACUGCCCUCCAAACUGCUUGGCUUGAGACCGGGAGAGGUGAGUGGAAUUCCCAGUGUAGCGGUGAAAUGCGUAGAUAUUGGGAAGAACACCGGUGGCGAAAGCGCUCUGCUGGGCCGCAACUGACACUAAUGGACGAAAGCUAGGGGAGCGAAUGGG